GAUGAACGCUGGCGGCGUGCCUAAUACAUGCAAGUCGAGCGAACGGACGAGAAGCUUGCUUCUCUGAUGUUAGCGGCGGACGGGUGAGUAACACGUGGAUAACCUACCUAUAAGACUGGGAUAACUUCGGGAAACCGGAGCUAAUACCGGAUAAUAUUUUGAACCGCAUGGUUCAAAAGUGAAAGACGGUCUUGCUGUCACUUAUAGAUGGAUCCGCGCUGCAUUAGCUAGUUGGUAAGGUAACGGCUUACCAAGGCAACGAUGCAUAGCCGACCUGAGAGGGUGAUCGGCCACACUGGAACUGAGACACGGUCCAGACUCCUACGGGAGGCAGCAGUAGGGAAUCUUCCGCAAUGGGCGAAAGCCCGACGGAGCAACGCCGCGUGAGUGAUGAAGGUCUUCGGAUCGUAAAACUCUGUUAUUAGGGAAGAACAUAUGUGUAGGUAACUGUGCACAUCUUGACGGUACCUAAUCAGAAAGCCACGGCUAACUACGUG
rnacentral:rRNA from 1 species